CAGGGAUUAGCUCAGUGGCAGAGCACUUGCCUGGCAAGCACAAGGUCCUGAGUUCGAUCCCUGG
rnacentral:tRNA from 1 species